UGUUUUCUACAAAAUAGGGUCAAUCUAUGACUCUUCAUCUACAGAGCAGGCCACUGGCACCCAGCCAGCCUAGCCAGCUCAGCCCAGUGUCAGAACCCGGAUCUUUCAGAGGGAGAGCUUGGGGAAAACAUGUCUGGAUGGGUGUCCCUUGCCUGAGUGUCUGUCUGACUUCAAAUUGGGACUCAAGCCUACGUAUCUUCUCUUUGCUCAGCUCUAGAAGCAGAAGCAUUAAUGAGAAGCGAUUGAUGCCUUCAUCAACAAUUACAGAAGUGAUGCUGCUGAGAAGAUUCAAAAUACAGACUUUGAAAAAAUGUCAAGUCACUGAACAAGAACAGCAUAUAGUGGCACAUGUGUUUGUGUCUCCCUUUUUCUCGUCCUGUCUGCCUUUCUUGUUCAUGUAAGAUUGCACACAGUAGCAACCCUUGUUACUGCAGAGAUAAGGAGUCCCAGAACUGCCUCAGAAAAGAGAAUCUUAUUUCUAAUACAGAAAAUGAUUGUAAAUAUAUGAGUUUAGAAAAUAAAUGUAAAAGUUUUAUUGGAACUUUUUCUGGAAAACAAAGUUGUCAAGCUUAUUUUGAUCUAUAAGCUAUUUUCUACAGUACAGCCUAAAACUUCCACAUUCAUCAGCCUUCCUGCCUUAGUAUCCUAAAAAAUGUCUGCAGACCAAUAAUGUUUUCCCUGGGGAUUUCAUUACUGAAAGGGCUCAUUAGGAAAGACAUUAAAAUACGAAUUACCUCAUAAACUAUUUAGUUGUGUACCCAGUGGGAAUGUGCUUAUUAGAGCCUAAGCUUUUCACGAAUAGAGCUAAUCAAUUAAACUUCAUUAGGAACCAAAAGGACCCAAACAGAAUGGAUAAAUCAGGAACCAUCUAUGAGAGGACUUGUUUGGAAAGAGGCAUCUAUCUCCUGUAACUGCUAAAGGAAGACUAAGAUACAGACACAGCACAUAGGAUAGAUUGUGUGAAGACACGGGGUGAAGAUGGCCCUCUACAAGCUGAGGAAAGAGGCCUGGAACAGAGUCUUCCCAAUUUAGUAAAGGAACAGUCUCAUCGAUUAUCUGAUCUUGGACUUGCAGUCUCCAGAACUGUAAGACAAUAAAUACAUCCUUUAAG